UAUGAUUGCAAAUGAGACAACUCUCCACAAGAGACCAAACUGACACAGAAAUUAACAACUAUAGGUCACUGUACAGCCUUCGACAAUGAGCAAAGCCCAUACCGCAUAGUCAGCUAUAAAAGGCCCGAAAUGACAUGGUAAAACAAUUCAAACGAGAAAACUAACAGCCUUAUUUUACAUUAAAAAAAAUCAACGAAAAACAAAUAUGUAACACAUAAACAAACCACAAC
rnacentral:lncRNA from 1 species